rnacentral:rRNA from 1 species
AGAACGAACGCUGGCGGCAGGCCUAACACAUGCAAGUCGAACGGAUGUAGCAAUACAUUAGUGGCGCACGGGAGAGUAACGCGUGGGAACCUACCUUUUGGUUUGGGAUAACGUCGGGAAACUGACGCUAAUACCAGAUAAGCCCGCCCCUUUACUGGGAUGGGGAAAGAUUUAUCGCCGAUAGAUGGGCCCGCGUAAGAUUAGCUAGUUGGUGAGGUAAUGGCUCACCAAGGCUACGAUCUUUAGCUGGUCUGAGAGGAUGAUCAGCCUCACUGGGACUGAGACACGGCCCAGACUCCUACGGGAGGCAGCAGUGGGGAAUAUUGGACAAUGGGGGCAACCCUGAUCCAGCCAUGCCGCGUGAAUGAUGAAGGCCUUCGGGUUGUAAAAUUCUUUUGGUGGGAAGAUGAUGACGGUACCCACAGAAUAAGCACCGGCUAACUCGUGCCAGCAGCCGC